UCCCUGGUGGCUCAGACUGUAAAGCAACUGCCUACAGUGCAGGAGACCCGGGUUCAACCCCUGGAUCGGGAA
rnacentral:tRNA from 1 species